rnacentral:rRNA from 1 species
GACGUAGGGCGCGAGCGUUGUCCGGAUUUAUUGGGCGUAAAGAGCUCGUAGGCGGCUUGUCGCGUCGACCGUGAAAACUCGCAGCUCAACUGCGAGCCUGCGGUCGAUACGGGCAGGCUAGAGUUCGGUAGGGGAGACUGGAAUUCCUGGUGUAGCGGUGAAAUGCGCAGAUAUCAGGAGGAACACCGGUGGCGAAGGCGGAUCUCUGGGCCUUGCCUGACGCUGAGGCGCGAAAGCUAGGGGAGCGAACAGG